rnacentral:rRNA from 1 species
UACGGGGGGGGCAAGCGUUGUUCGGAAUUACUGGGCGUAAAGGGCUUGUAGGUGGCCAACUAAGUCAGACGUGAAAUCCCUCGGCUUAACCGGGGAACUGCGUCUGAUACUGGAUGGCUGGAGUGUGGGAGAGGGAUGCGGAAUUCCAGGUGUAGCGGUGAAAUGCGUAGAUAUCGGGAGGAACACCAGUAGCGAAGGCGGCUCGCUGGGCCACACCUGACGCUGAGACGCGAAAGCUAGGGGAGCGAACAGG